UACGGAGGAUGCGAGCGUUAUCCGGAUUUAUUGGGUUUAAAGGAUGCGUAGGCGGACUGUCAAGUCAGCGGUAAAAUUGAGAGGCUCAACCUCUUCCCGCCGUUGAAACUGGUGGUCUUGAGUGGAUGAGAAGUACGCGGAAUGCGUGGUGUAGCGGUGAAAUGCAUAGAUAUCACGCAGAACUCCGAUUGCGAAGGCAGCGUACCGGCAUCCAACUGACGCUGAGGCACGAAAGCGUGGGGAUCAAACAGG
rnacentral:rRNA from 1 species